CCUACGGGUGGCAGCAGUGGGGAAUAUUGCACAAUGGGGGAAACCCUGAUGCAGCGACGCCGCGUGAGUGAAGAAGUAUUUCGGUAUGUAAAGCUCUAUUAGCAGGGAAGAAGAAAGACGGUACUUGACUAAGAAGCCCCGGCUAACUACGUGCCAGCAGCCGCGGUAAUACGUAGGGGGCAAGCGUUAUCCGGAUUUACUGGGGGUAAAGGGAGGGUAGACGGGUGUGAAAGUUUGAAGGGAAAGUCCAGGGCUCAACCCCGGGACUGCCUUUGAAACUGUGGCUCUAGAGUGCUGGAGAGGUAAGUGGAAUGCGUGGUGUAGCGGUGAAAUGCGUAGAUAUUAGGAGGAACACCAGUUGCGAAGGCGGCUUACUGGACAGUAACUGACGUUGAGGCUCGAAAGCGUGGGGAGCAAACAGGAUUAGAUACCCGUGUAGUC
rnacentral:rRNA from 1 species